CAGGCUUACAAUGAUGGCAAUAAACAACAUUUGGGAGUGUGCUGACCCUGGUGCUAGAGGGGGUACGCAACUGGAGGUUGAAUGUUUGAAAGGGUACGGCACUAUAAAAGUGGUUUGGGAACCACUGGCAUAGCCUAUAGAAAUGUUGCACAACAUGAGCUCAUGGGUUCUCAUGAAGUGUUUCAUUAGAUUUUCAAUUACAUUUGCAUUGAUGUCAGAGUGAUUAGAGGAACAAUAGACUGCUGAGUACCAGGCAGUUAGCAAGUUAGGUAGGCUACUAAUGACCAUCAGCAGAAUCAGAGCUUAAUUACCGUGACCGCCGGUGUGGCGGUAAUACGGUCACUGCAACAGCCCCACUCAAGGUUUAGUUUUUAUACUGUCAGGACACAGUUAUGUAAAGACAACCUUGUGAGAGAAGGACAAUUACUAGACUGAGAGUGUGUCCUCCAUCAAAAUUACCUAAUUAUGACAAGCCCAAUGUCUUAGAAAGAGAGAGAGACCGAGAGAGAAAGACAUCAGAAUAUGAAAGAUUAAUUUAUUUAUUAAUAUGAAGUCUUCUUGAUGACAGCAGGUUUCCCUAAUUUCCCUUCAAACAUUUUCACAAAAACACAAUAUUCCUUAGGAAAUAUGAGUAAUGUGGCAAAAUCGGUUUGUGGGAAGGUUAGGCUAAAUAUGGAAAUUUGUCAGCAGCAUAUCCGCAAAUUAAAAAGUAGAUUAUGAUUUUCUAGUUACCAAAGCUACUGCCCUGACAAUUGGGUUGUUAUUUUCACUAAUUACAUUAACUUUGACAGCAAGGGGAUGUGAAGACUUUCUCAAAAAGAGAUGAUUACAAAUAUAGAGAUCUUAUGGGGUUUUCUUAGACAUAGAGCUAACAACAAUCCAAAGGUUGCUGAGUUUAGAUAAAGAAAGCUUGUACCAACUGACAUGUCUUAUCUGUUUGGGAUUGAGAUGUGAGUGAAACACUUUUGAGACAUCCUCUUAUCCAUUUGAACCCUAAAGGAGAGACAACAAACAAUUUGGAGAACAUUGCUACGCUAUCCCUUUGACAACAAACAUCCCAUGAACCACAACAACCAAAUAGGCUACUAUUUAUAUCAUAAUCUUAAGAAAAUUACCCUAUGAAACCAGUCCACAGAAAGUUGAACAUUAAACGUUUUCCAGUCUAUAAUCCCACACAGUCGGAGACCUCCCUCCAAUGAACUGUGUAUCUUGAUCUCAUAGGGAAGGUACAAUAAAGCAGGUGCUGUGGGCGGGCUACCAGUCCAGUCUCUCUACCCAGCCCAGGCUCAGUGUUUCUGUUUGGGGGAGCAGAUGUGGAUAUAGGGCACAGGGGCAUGCUCCCAUCAUCAGAAGGUUAAUGGAGCUUGGUAGCACUGACAGACAUCUCCACUCUCCCUCUUUCUGCAUAUAAACUCUAGUGAUAGCUUCUGUCACUGACAGAAGACAUCCCCGACCCUGAUGAGGCAAUUCUCAGUCAACUUCCUGAGAGGAGAUGCCCACCACAUAGACCCACACAUUAAGUGGCGUCUCUGUGCUUAUUCCUUUAAUAUUAAGACUGACACAGUCCUUUAAUGAAUGGAUUGCAGAUGGUUACAUACGAUUCCAUAUAUUGGCUAUAUAGGAAUCACACCAUGGAGAUGACAGAUGCUACAACAAGCAGUGGUGCACAGAAUACUGUAGAUCUAAGUCUACCUAAACAACCACACAACAACAACAAAAAUGUACUUGGGGUAUAAUACACCAAAUACACCUCGUAAUACCCUUAAAAUAUGUAUCUCUUUCAUUGCUAGCUGAACAUACUGUAAUGCUAGCUGAACAUACUGUAGCUAACAUGAAUAUGGAGGAGCCUGAUUCAUUUCCUCAGCAUUAUCCACCACAGUAAACAGUGGGUGGGUGGCUCCUGAGUCCUGGCUGGCCCCAGUUUGGCAGUGGGUUGGAGAAAGGAUGUUGGGUUGAAUAUCACACUGCUUCAUCACAUCCUCUGAUGUGUGACCCACUCUGCAUGGCUCAGCCCAGGGCAGGCUUCAGCCUCAGUCAGCCUUUAAAUAACCAAGACUCUAAAGAGGGGAACUGCUGGUGAACUAUGACCAACACUAGCAUUAUAUAGCAGGUUGUUACUUCAGAGAAAAGGUGACUGGUAUAUUUAGCCCAUAAUGUUACUAAAAAAGGUAUGUGGAUAUCUGUUAAGAUCAGCCAUAAAAAAAAAACAUUUUUAAUUUUCAAUUGUCCAACUAAUGUCCUCAAAUACCUCAAAAGGUUUUAUGUUUCAACCUGACUACCUUUAACCAACUUAUGAAAGGACAGACUGAGACUGAGCUCUAAAAAACAUAAACAUAGAUAUCAAAAGGGGGUGAAAGAGAAAGGGAGACAGAGGGAUAGAGUGUCAUAGAGUGUACUCACAGAAAGAAAACAGCAAUGGUCUUGAUGACACCUUCACAGAAACUGCCCUGCACUGUAACUCCCCCUAUACACACUGACUGACUCCUACCGGAGUUGAGUUGGACAGACUACACAUACAGCGUCUAUGCACAGAGAGCAACACGCCAGCCAGACCUUUGGAUCAGAGAGCCACUGAGAAAGAGCAGCAGGGCCAAGAGUAGUCCAGCUGCUACUGCCUCCACACACACAGAUCAAGACACGGAAGCAGCCUGUCUGCCUCUGUGCUGCCUAUACCUCUCUCACGCUCUCUCUCAGACACGCACGCACACUCUCUCUCAGACACACACACACACACACACGAGGAAGUCUCCCUCCCCACUCAGACUAUUUUUCCAAGCCGAGGUACAGGCGGUGGGAGAGGUGGAGAGGUGUUUUGAGAAGAUAUUUUAUUUCAAUCCUGUUAUUUGUCUCCCUUCCCUCAGGACACUGUGGUCAUUUGAUUUAGGCUACCUUAGGCUUAGCUCAUGUGUAUGACAGAUUGUAGAGGACACAAUCACCCCAUUGUAUGAAAAUAUUUCUAGCUUCAGUAGAGAGAAGAGGGAGGGCCGAAGAUUAAGCAUUUGUGGAAGCAACCACUCCCCCAUUGCUGACUACAAAUGAUUUAUAACUGUGCUAUUUGAAGCUGUUUGAAGCUCGUGAGCUCGUGAGUACUUCUCCUGUCCUAUUCGGUGUCCUGUGUGAAUCUAAGUGUGCGUUCUCUAAUUCUCUCCUUCUCUCUUUCUUUCUCUCUCUCUCGGAGGACCUGAGCCCUAGGACCAUGCCCCAGGACUACCUGACAUGAUGACUCCUUGCUGUCCCCAGUCCACCUGGCUGUGCUGCUGCUCCAGUUUCAACUCUUCUGCCUUAUUAUUAUUCGACCAUGCUGGUCAUUUAUGAACAUUUGAACAUCUUGGCCAUGUAAUGUUAUAAUCUCCACCCGGCACAGCCAGAAGAGGACUGGCCACCCCACAUAUGCUCUCUCUAAUUCUCUCUUUCUUUCUCCCUCUCGGAGGACCUGAGCCCUAGGACCAUCCCCCAGGACAACCUGACAUGAUAUGACUCCUUGCUGUCCCCAGUCCACCUGACCGUGCUGCUGCU